GAUGAACGCUGGCGGCGUGCUUACCACAUGCAAGUCGAACGGAAAGGCCCAAGCUUGCUUGGGUACUCGAGUGGCGAACGGGUGAGUAACACGUGGGUGAUCUGCCCUGCACUUCGGGAUAAGCCUGGGAAACUGGGUCUAAUACCGGAUAGGACCACAUUUUGGAUGGUGUGGUGGAAAGUUUUUCGGUGUGGGAUGAGCUCGCGGCCUAUCAGCUUGUUGGUGGGGUAAUGGCCUACCAAGGCGUCGACGGGUAGCCGGCCUGAGAGGGUGUACGGCCACAUUGGGACUGAGAUACGGCCCAGACUCCUACGGGAGGCAGCAGUGGGGAAUAUUGCACAAUGGGCGCAAGCCUGAUGCAGCGACGCCGCGUGGGGGAUGACGGCCUUCGGGUUGUAAACUCCUUUCGCUAGGGACGAAGCGCAAGUGACGGUACCUGGAGAAGAAGCACCGGCUAACUACGUG
rnacentral:rRNA from 1 species